CAGAGCGUGGCUAAAGAGCAGAGCAUCUCCCUUACACCGAGAAGAUACCUGUGCAAAUCAGGUCGCACUGA
rnacentral:tRNA from 1 species